UUGCUCUCCUAUAAGAGGUCCAGCCUGCCCAGUGACUUAGUUCAACGGCCGCGGUACCCUAACCGUGCGAAGGUAGCGUAAUCACUUGUCUUCUAAAUAGAGACUAGUAUGAAAGGCAUCACGAGAAUUUAACUGUCUCCUUUUUCCAAUCAGUGAAACUAAUCUUCCCGUGAAGAAGCGGGAAUCCAAAAAUAAGACGAGAAGACCCUAUGGAGCUUUAAACACUAACCACCUGCCCGAUCCUAUAAAACCCCGGUUCCUAAACCAACGCAUCAUGACUACGUGUUUUUGAUUGGGGCGACCACGGAAAAUAAUCAAACCUCCGUAAUGAAAACCUACAAGCCACAGCUUUAAGUAUCAACAAAUUGACAUCCAUUGACCCAAUAUAUUGACUAAUGAAC
rnacentral:rRNA from 1 species